UUUCCGUAGGUGAACCUGCGGAAGGAUCAUUACAAAAGUUAAACACUUGGGGAACGGACUCGCCUUUCGGGGCUCGAGGCCUGACUCCAUUUGUAACAAACUUUCAACCACUUGUGAAUUUGUAACAAUUAUUCUCACCAAUUGACUGUUAACGAAGUCUGAUUCAAAUUGCAUUGGUGUUUAUAGACACUAGUAAAAUAUGAAACAACUUUUGGCAACGGAUCUCUUGGCUCUC
rnacentral:misc_RNA from 1 species